UACGUAGGGCGCAAGCGUUGUCCGGAAUUAUUGGGCGUAAAGAGCUCGUAGGCGGUCUGUUACGUCCGCUGUGAAAACCCAGGGCUUAACCCUGGGCUUGCAGUGGAUACGGGCAGACUAGAGGCAGGUAGGGGAGAAUGGAAUUCCCGGUGUAGCGGUGAAAUGCGCAGAUAUCGGAAGGAACACCAGUGGCGAAAGCGGCUUCCUGGUCCAGCACCGACGUUCAGGCACGAAAGCGUGGGGAGCAAACAGG
rnacentral:rRNA from 1 species